rnacentral:rRNA from 1 species
UACGUAGGGGGCAAGCGUUGUCCGGAAUCAUUGGGCGUAAAGCGCGUGUAGGCGGCCCGAUAAGUCCGCUGUGAAAGUCCAGGGCUCAACCCUGGGAUGCCGGUGGAUACUGUCGGGCUCGAGUCCGGAAGAGGCGAGUGGAAUUCCUGGUGUAGCGGUGAAAUGCGCAGAUAUCAGGAGGAACACCAAUGGCGAAGGCAGCUCGCUGGGACGUGACUGACGCUGAGACGCGAAAGCGUGGGGAGCAAACAGGG